AUUGAACGCUGGCGGCAGGCUUAACACAUGCAAGUCGAGCGAGCGGCGGACGGGUGAGUAAUGUCUGGGAAACUGCCUGAUGGAGGGGGCUAACUCCUGGAAACGGUAGCUAAUCCCGCAUACCAUCAGAUGUGCCCGGAUGGGAUUAGCUAGUAGGUGUGGUAAUGGCUCACCUAGGCGACGAUCCCUAGCUGGUCUGAGAGGAUGACCAGCCACCCGGGAACGGAGACACGGCCCAGACCCCUACGUGAGGCAGGAGUGGGGAAUGUUGUACAAGGGGCGCAAUGCUGAUGCAGCCAUGCCGCGUGGGUGAAGAAGUCCGUCGGUUUGGAAACCACUUUCAGCGAGGAGGCGGUACUCGCAGAAGAAGCACCGGCUAACUCCGUGCCAGCAGCCGCGGUAAUAC
rnacentral:rRNA from 1 species